CCACAUAGUCGCCCAGGAAGCGGUUCAGCAGAUCCGCCACCACCGACUCCAGGACCAUGGCGGAGGCGGCCCCUCAGCCGGCGGGAGUGUUGGCUGUUCAAAGCUAUUCCCAUCCUAAGGAAGUGACAAGUCAGGAAAUUGUGAAUACAGCUCCUGCUGCCCUUCUAUUAGCACUGAAGCUGACCCAGGGUUCCUCUUGCACACUGCUGGAGUUCUUCAAGAGAUACAAAAUGCACAGUUCAAAGCUGAACCUGUGAGUGUCCCCAGAGGGUCACCAUUCUCCAGACCCUGCAAGGCCAUAUUCAAGAGCAGGUCGACCGAUCUGACAGCUUUGAGGCAGCCUGGCAAGUUUGUUCACCACAGAGCUGAUGAACCACACUGGGCAACCUUCCCUCAGGAACCUGUUUGGUAACUCAGAGCUGCACCAAGGAAGAGCAGCAGCUCAGGGAAUGAAGGGGCUGACAGCACAUAGGUACAGUUGCAAAGUGUCCUUCAAAACAUUUGUCCAGGGUGCACAUGGAGAGCAGAUACUGAAUCCCAGUCUAGAUACAGAGAUGUCAACUUGAGGUGACCGUGGUGAUGGCUCUAGGCCUGGUGUGUUCCAGACCAUGGUAAGUAAGACUUUUCUCUUCUGUUGUAUCCUGGGCAAAAGCUCCUCUUCAGACUUCAUUGUAUCACGUGUGAAAUAAUAUAUGUUUAUCUAGUAAAUUGCUUUGUAAGGAGGGUUCAGGGUCACUCUUCAGAAACACAUUAAACAACUCCUGUCUUCACUUCUGAACUGCUCUCAGUCAGGGCUGUGCAUCUGCAAUUACCUUAAGAAAGAAACUGAACUGAGAAAGUGCUGAAGAAAAGAAACCAAAAAGCCAAAAACCAAACUUUUCUGUUCUUGCAUCUGACAGGCAAGAACCUGAUUACAGAACCCUCAAAUGAAACAUAAAACAUACUGACCUAUUUAACAGGCUCCAGCUACAGAAGAGCUCAAAAUUAAGACCUUUCUCUAAGUUGUUUCUUAAGGCCUUAGUGCAAAUUAAAUUCAAUAACAAGAAUCAUGAACAGCACCAUGGUUACAAGGAGAACUCUUCAUUCUCUGCUAUAAUGGAAUAAAGAAAAUAAGGAAAAGAGAUGAAAAAAAGGGAUUUACACCCCUCAGCCUUUCAAAGGACAGUCAGUUUUGACUGCUUUAUAUUAAAAAAAAAAUCCAACUCCUCAUUCCAUUCUUUUUAUACAUCAGCAUUUUUAUACUCUUUCUUGCUUUGGAACUGGUUAUAUUCUAUUCAGACAGCACUAGUUUCUAAAUGCAGAUGAGACAUGGCUUAAUUAUUUUUAUAUAUCCCAUGUUAACUAUGGUAUGUUUUCAUCACAUGCUGCAAAUCUUUUCAUCCUUUGACUCGACAUCCUUUAGUCCUGCAGCCUGUGCAGUCGAAACUCUUGUCAGUGCAAGUGUAAUGAGCAGAGAAAGGGAUCCUGCCUGAAUCCCACGGUGUGCACUGGUAAGUUAUCAAAAGGCAGCCCUUCAGCCCUGCCAAAUUAUGUUCAUCAGCUGACUUCAAGCAGGAGCUGCCAGCCUUGGAGCUGCUGGGGUUCAGAGGAUCCAGCAGGAGCAAUCCACCUCUUUUAUCUGUGCAACUAAAACACAAAAGAAGCUGUAGCAUCAAAGAUGAGUGCUCAGGCUCUGGAUCUGGGAACAGCUCAGAGCUCCUGAAGGCAGAGCCCAGGCAGACACGUGCCUAUGGCAGGAGCAGCUCCCUGCUUGGGCAGCAAGUGGCUCAGGAGGGAAAAAACCAAACCAAAAGGAACCCCAAAGCACCAGACAUUGGGUGCUGUGGCCCUGCCAGGGAGGGCUGCAGAGCCCAGGGGGAGCAGCUUCAGUACCAAAGGCUGUGGUACAUCAGCCAGCCCUCAGAUUUAUUCAGGGUCUGCACGUGAGAACUCCUAAUCCCAGAGAUACACCAUGGAAAACAGUCCAUGGAGCAGUCUGCAUGACCUGCUCAGUUCUGUGCAGGUCAGUGGGUCAGUGCUCUGUGCUGCCCAAAGCUCUGCUCCUGAGUGGGUUACAAGUGACAUGAGUUCUAAACAGGGGAACUGUCAGAAACUACUCCUACAAAUAUGUUCCCUACUCAGCUUCAGUAGUUUGAAUAAUAAAACCUACUCAGUUCAGGUGCCAGAGGAAUUGCUACUCAUGUCCACCAGUUCAGCUGUCAGACUCAUGAAACCAUCCCAAGCCCAGCUGCAGAUGCUCUGCACACCAGUUAUCAUUCAGUUAGUUUUCAGACACUGUUUUAAGCUUAGACACAGAAGCCCCAAAUAUUCCAAUCCUUCUAGGAAUGUAUCUUUAUGAUCAGGGCCUUAGUUUCCUAAGAGAUAAGCAAGAGUAUUUGAGUAUCUGGUAAUAAAUAUACUACACUGUUCCUUUCUGGGGGCUCAGGGUGCUCCUGGUUUAAAACCUUUCUCACAAUAUUGAAGUUUUUCUUACCAGUAAAUAUGUAAGGUUUUUCAGGUUUUAAGUCUUGCUUAGUUUUCCAACACUUGCAUUUUGUACUGAUGACAUUACACCUCACAUGGGCAUUACAAGUUUUUAGUGUGGCAGUCAUGACAUUCUUCUGAGAUUCCCUUUCCAUGGAGGAUCAGACUACAGAUAUUUGUGGUACUUCUAAAAAAAAGCCAAAAUGGGUGAGACAUCCUAUAUACAUUUCUGGUAAUAGCAAAGCAUAUGAGCAAAGCACAGAAAAAUCAUCUCCUGUGUUUGGAAGGUGAAAGUGAAUCAAAGGAAAAGGGAAGUGUGAUCUGAGGAAGCAAAGAUGGGGGAAAUUCUACCCUUUGAAGAUACUGAAAGUCAAGCUGACCAUGGUCCUGAGCAGCUGGAGCUGCCCCUGCUUUGGGAAGAGGUCAGACAAGGUGAUCUCUGGGUCCCUGCCAGCACCAACUAUUCAGUGACUCUGAAGUGGACAAAAGUCACAGGCCAAUGCCAUAACAAGGACUGUUUUUCUUUAGGAGAAAGUAGUUCUUAUCAAGAAAACGUGAA